rnacentral:rRNA from 1 species
AGUGAACGCUGGCGGUAGGCCUAACACAUGCAAGUCGAACGGCAGCACCGUAAGAGCUUGCUCUUACGGGUGUCGAGUGGCGGACGGGUGCGUAAUACACCGGAAUCUACUUUUUCGUGGGGGCUAAUGUAGGGAAACUUACGCUAAUACCGCAUACGACCUACGGGUGUAAGCAGGGGAUCUUCGGACCUUGCGCUAUUGAAUGAGCCGAUGUCGGAUUAGCUAGUUGGCGGGGUAAAGGCCCAACACGGCGACGAUCCGUAGCUGGUCUGAGAGGAUGGACAGACAGACGGGAAGUGAGAAACGGUAGAGACUCCGACGGGAGGAAGCAGUGGGGAAUAUUAGGCGAUGGGGGCAAGGCUGAUACAGCAAUACCGGGGGAGUGAAGAAGGAGUUAGGGUUGUAGAGCGAUUUUGUUGGGAAAGAAAAGAAGCAGGUUAAUACCCCGCUGUAAUGACGGUACCGAAAGAAUAAGCACCGGCUAACUUCGUG